CAUAUAGUUGCGUGGAUAAAACCAGAAAUAUGUACUGUACAGUGCACUCCCCUUCUCUGGUAUUUUUAAUUCAACCACUGCAUUUUGGGAAAUUUGGGUCCUGUAUAGUCAGGGAGAAGGGAGGAUAUUUUUAUUUACAGUCCCUCUGCAUAUUAAAUGGGUUUAGACGGGAAAUAUGUUAAGUUAUAACCAUGGAGGGCAAGGAAGGAUAAAUGGGAGUUGCCACUGUAGGCACCCAGACCACUUGAGCUCAUUGAAGUGGUCUGGGUGCUAUGACCCAUGUCCCUUAACCCUACAGUGGUGGUAAUGGCAGUUUCUCAGAAUAUUACCUCAGAGGGUUAACUCCACCUCUGGUGGCUGUGUUCCACUAGAGGUGGAGUUAACCCACCAGACUGCCACUAGAG